rnacentral:tRNA from 1 species
GCCCUUGUAGUAUAAUGGAUAGAACGCUUGGCUUCGAACCAAGAGAUGGGGGUUCGAUUCCCUCCGAGGGCA